GGUCUAAUAGUGUAGAGGUUAUCACACGGGAUUUUGACAGUUGUAUUUCCCGUGACCCAGGUUCGAGUCCUGGUUAGACCU
rnacentral:tRNA from 2 species